CAGGGAGACAACAAAAUGUUUAAUAUUAUUAUUUUGUCACCUUAGGUCGAUCGGUAUCUCACGUUUUUAAUUUAUUAAGAAUUUCACUUCCUAAGUUUUUCUAGGUCACACCCACUAUUUUUCCUGGGCCAUUAGCUCAGGUGGUUAGAGCGCACCCCUGAUAAGGGUGAGGUCCCUGGUUCAAGUCCAGGAUGGCCCAUAUCUCUAUGUUGGGGGUAUAGCUCAGUUGGUAGAGCGCCUGCUUUGCAAGCAGGAUGUCAGCGGCUCGAGUCCGCUUACCUCCACUGAUUACCACCUCUUCCAUAAUCGGUAGAAAGGAAAUGUUUUGAGUAGUGAUCAAAUUCUGAAAGAAUCUAGCUUCCUAAUGAAACCAUUAAGAUGCUGGACUCAUUGAAUUAAUUUCAUUGUUUUCAGAGAACCUUGACAACUGCAUAGAUUAUUUUUUUAAAGACAAUAAGCAUUUUUAAUGAUGCAGAUUGAUUAUUUGUGCGAAUGCAUCAAUAACAAUUCUAUUAAGCUGAUGCUUCAAUUUUUGAAGUUAUU
rnacentral:tRNA from 1 species